GUGACUGUAACUCAAUGGAUAGAGUUUUUGGUUACGAACCAAAAAGAAACAGGUUCAAAUCCUGUCAGUCAUU
rnacentral:tRNA from 1 species